UCGGACGUGGUGUACGGUACACACCCGCUCUCGUUAGCAUAGGGAGAAGCAUGAUGCGGAAAGCCUGGGUUCGGCUCCCAGCGUCCGAA